GACGAACGCUGGCGGCGUGCCUAAUACAUGCAAGUUGAGCGCUGAAGGUUGGUACUUGUACCAACUGGAUGAGCAGCGAACGGGUGAGUAACGCGUGGGGAAUCUGCCUUUGAGCGGGGGACAACAUUUGGAAACGAAUGCUAAUACCGCAUAAAAACUUUAAACACAAGUUUUAAGUUUGAAAGAUGCAAUUGCAUCACUCAAAGAUGAUCCCGCGUUGUAUUAGCUAGUUGGUGAGGUAAAGGCUCACCAAGGCGAUGAUACAUAGCCGACCUGAGAGGGGGAUCGGCCACAUUGGGACUGAGACACGGCCCAAACUCCUACGGGAGGCAGCAGUAGGGAAUCUUCGGCAAUGGACGAAAGUCUGACCGAGCAACGCCGCGUGAGUGAAGAAGGGUUUCGGAUCGGAAAACUCUGUUGGUAGAGAAGAACGUUGGUGAGAGUGGAAAGCUCAUCAAGUGACGGUAACUACCCAGAAAGGGACGGCUAACUACGUG
rnacentral:rRNA from 1 species